UUUUAAAAAUGUAGGUUUAAAAAUGUAGUUUUAAAAAUGUAGCUUUGAACAGAAUUGUAGUUUUAAAAAUGUAGUUAUGAAUGAAAUGCAGUUUUAAAAAGGUAGUUUUGAAUGAAAUGUAACUUUAAGAAUGUAAGUUUAAGAAUGUACUUUUAAGAAUGUAGGUUUGAAUGAAAUGUAGGUUUAAGGAUGUAGUUUUGAACGGGAUGUAGGUUUAAAUGGGAUGUAGGUUUAAAGGGAAUAUAGGUUUAAAUAGGGACCAGCUCAAAGCAAAUGNUUUCUCCUCUUUUUGGGGUUUGUUCCAUCCCAAAUUUUUCUGCUCUUUUGGGGUUAUUUCCAUCACAAUUUUCCCCUUUUUAUGGGUUUUGUGCAAUCCCAGUUUUUUCCUCUUUUUGGGAUUUGCUCCAUCCCAACCAAUUUUCUCCUCUUUUUGGGGUUUAUUCCAUCCCAAUGGUUUCUCCAGCCCAAUUUUCUCCUCUUUUUGGGAUUUGUUCCAUUCUUAUUUUCUUUAAUAUCAACCCAUCUCUUAUUUUCUUUAAUAUCAACCAAUACCAUAUUUUCCUUAAUAUCAACCAAUCUCUGCACAAAUCCAGCACAUUUUGAGCACUCAGAGGAGAGGAAUAUCCUGGUGCAGCCUGAGGAGGAAACCCUGGACUCAUUUCCAGCCUUGGGGAAGGAUUAUUUUGAAUUUUUUGAUUUUCUUGUGAGGUGCUGAGGGUUUGGCUGUGCUGACUUUUGAUGCUCAACCCUCACCUGUAAUUGAUGUGAAAUUCGGAAUUUUUCACGUACAGAAUUUUCCUGAAUAUCAACCCAUCUCUUAUUUUCUUUAAUAUCCAACAAUAGCUUAUUUUCCUUAAUAUCAACCAAAUCUCUUAUUUUCGUGAAUAUCAACCCAUCUCUUAUUUUCUUUAAUAUCAACCAAAUCUCUUCUUUAAUAUCAACCAAUCUCUUAUUUUCCUGAAUAACAACCCAUCUCUGCACAAAUCCAGCACAUUUUGAGCACUCAGAGGACAGGAAUAUCCUGGUGCAGCCUGAGGAGGAAACCCAGGACUCAUUUCCAGCUUGGGGAAGGAUUAUUUUGAAUUUUUUGAUUUUCUUGUGAGGUGCUGAGGGUUUGGCUGUGCUGACUUUUGAUGCUCAAACCUCACCUGUAAUUGAUGUGAAAUUCGGAAUUUUUCAUGUACAGAAUUUUCCUGAAUAUCAACCCAUCUCUUAUUUUCUUUAAUA
rnacentral:lncRNA from 1 species